CUGAUGUUUGGUGUUUACACUAGACUGAUGAGUUGCGAACGGGUGAGUAACGCGUAGGUAACCUGCCUCAUAGCGGGGGAUAACUAUUGGAAACGAUAGCUAAUACCGCAUAAGAGUGAUUAACACAUGUUAGUUAUUUAAAAGGAGCAAUUGCUUCACUGUGAGAUGGACCUGCGUUGUAUUAGCUAGUUGGUGAGGUAAAGGCUCACCAAGGCGACGAUACAUAGCCGACCUGAGAGGGUGAUCGGCCACACUGGGACUGAGACACGGCCCAGACUCCUACGGGAGGCAGCAGUAGGGAAUCUUCGGCAAUGGACGGAAGUCUGACCGAGCAACGCCGCGUGAGUGAAGAAGGUUUUCGGAUCGUAAAGCUCUGUUGUUAGAGAAGAACGUUGGUAGGAGUGGAAAAUCUACCAAGUGACGGUAACUAACCAGAAAGGGACGGCUAACUACGUGCCAGCAGCCGCGGUAAUACGUAGGUCCCGAGCGUUGUCCGGAUUUAUUGGGCGUAAAGCGAGCGCAGGCGGUUCUUUAAGUCUGAAGUUAAAGGCAGUGGCUUAACCAUUGUACGCUUUGGAAA
rnacentral:rRNA from 1 species